rnacentral:rRNA from 1 species
UCAUUACCGAGUUUACAACUCCCAAACCCAAUGUGAACCAUACCAAACUGUUGCCUCGGCGGGGUCACGCCCCGGGUGCGUCGCAGCCCCGGAACCAGGCGCCCGCCGGAGGGACCAACCAAACUCUUUCUGUAGUCCCCUCGCGGACGUUAUUUUUACAGCUCUGAGCAAAAAUUCAAAAUGAAUCAAAACUUUCAACAACGGAUCUCUUGGUUCUGGCAUCGAUGAAGAACGCAGCGAAAUGCGAUAAGUAAUGUGAAUUGCAGAAUUCAGUGAAUCAUCGAAUCUUUGAACGCACAUUGCGCCCGCCAGUAUUCUGGCGGGCAUGCCUGUCCGAGCGUCAUUUCAACCCUCGAACCCCUCCGGGGGGUCGGCGUUGGGGAUCGGGAACCCCUAAGACGGGAUCCCGGCCCCGAAAUACAGUGGCGGUCUCGCCGCAGCCUCUCAUGCGCAGUAGUUUGCACAACUCGCACCGGGAGCGCGGCGCGUCCACGUCCGUAAAACACCCAACUUCUGAAAUGUUGACCUCGGAUCAGGUAGGAAUACCCGCUGAACUUAACGAGCGUCAUUUCAAC